rnacentral:rRNA from 1 species
GAUGAACGCUGGCGGCGUGCUUAACACAUGCAAGUCGAACGGAAAGGCCCUUCCUUUGUCUGGUGCUCGAGUGGCGAACGGGUGAGUAACACGUGAGUAACCUGCCCUUCACUUUGGGAUAACCUUAGGAAACUGGGGCUAAUACCGGAUAGGAGCUUCUGCUGCAUGGUGGGGUGUGGAGAGUUUUCGCGGUGGGGGAUGGUCGCGCGCUAUAUGCGUUUGUGUGUGGUGUAGUGCUUUACCGAGGCCUUGAGGGGUAGGCGGUCUGAGAGGGUGACGGGCCACUUUGGGAGUGAGACACGGCCGACACUCCUACGGGAGGGAGGAGUGGGGGAUAGUGCAAAAUGGGCGAGCGUCUGGUGCAGCAACGGCGCGUGCGGGAUGGCGGCCCUCGUGGUGUACCCCGCUUGCGCCUGUGGAGGAGUGUGAGUGACGGUAAUGGGUAAAGAAGCACCGGCUAACUACGUG